rnacentral:lncRNA from 1 species
GGAAUCCUGGUGUGAUGGCUGGAGUUUCAGUGGCCGUUUUAAGAGCAUGGGGUGAUGGUCAACCCCCGAAGAAGAAGAAGAAGAAGAAGAAGAAGAUGGAGAAAGGGGCUGGGUCCUUGGUGUCCGCGUGGACUGGCCAUACCAGCCCUGGAUGUCUUGCCUCUGGACUGACAUUAUAGGAGAGAAAGAGAAAUCCUUCUUUUGUUUAAGCCACCAGUUUUCCGGCUUGUGUUACUCCAGUUGAACAUAAUAUCUAAUUGUCAGUGCAAUAAGUACUUUGAUUUUCCGGUCCUAGAAACGUGUUGCCUGUAGCCUGACAGGGCAAUCUGUAGGGUGGGGCCUGGCUGGAGGAGGACCAGGCUGGGGAAACUGUCUCUGGCACUGAUGGAAAAGAGGCAGAGAGAGGCGCUCCGCGCUGAUGACUCUGUAGCUGAGAAAUUGGCAGGCGGCGUUAGCCCCUCUGAGAAUCUCGAAACAGACGGUGUUUGAAGUGGGGUGGGGAUGCCAUCCUGCGUCUUCUAAGAAGCACCUGAGGAUAAAAGCUCUGGAAGCUGAGGUGUCUGUAAAAGUGACAUGCCGAGAAUCACUAACUGGCUGUGAAGGCUCCUCGGGUCCUUUAUGUUCCCUCUGCGUGGAGCAGAAGGCCCCUCCGCUCAAGCAGACGUUGUCCUACCCUCGAGGGGUCAGUGUGAUGAAGAUGAGGUUGAGCAGCAUAAACUCAUCACCUCGAAGAUCAUAAGCUUUCCUCUCUGCUCACCAGUCAGAUGCCCAUUUCUCCCUUGGUCCAGGUCUGUGGUCAUGCUCAUUGUCUGGGACCAUGCCCUAAGAACCAGGGAGCACCUUACAUCCCUCACCCUCUGUGGCUGGGGGAUACUCACCAAACCCGGCUCCAUUAAAGUCUCCCAGAAAGCUGCCAGAUUGAAACUGCUUCCCAGGGAUUCGGACAUUUCUGGGAACCUCUGAGUGAAUUUAUUUCACCAGGGUAUGCUCAUCUAUUUUAGGACAUUUCCUACAAGGAUCAGAUCAGGUCUACGGAGGGCUAAUCACAUCCAGUGAUGUCUGUAUGACAUCAAGCUUGUAGCUUUGUUGGAUGCUUCAAAUUUGUUGAGGACUUAAAUGAAAACCCACUUUGAGGCAGGCACCAUGUUAGGAGCUGGGAACACAGAUGCAUAAGUUACAAUCUGACUGAGAUUUGAAUUUUAGUAUUAUCAUUGUUCUUUUGGUAUGGCUACCUAAAAUAUUCCCUCUGAAGAACUAAAAUCAAGUGGCAUUUUGGGGCACCCAUGUCUCUUUUGGGAAUGAUGACAAAGGGAAGAGUCUCAGGCAGACAAAAGAUGGGCAUUUGCUCUCCCUCAACUCUCAUGCAUGGUACUAUGAGUAAUCAAUAAGGGUUGGAUGCCUUUCCUGAAAGUUCUGCUUAACAUGUAAGAAGAAUAGUUUAUGUGUUCUGUUGUUUUUCAAAUGUAUAGUGAGGGAAGUUCUGUGAUGGACAAGGCUAUCCUUAUUCCAGUUAACCCUCCUGGGCCAUCAUUGAAUUCUGUAAUCCAGGGCUGGGAUGGUUGUGGGACUCUUCUGACUCUGAAAAUAAUAGCCUGUUGCCACUACAGAGUAAUAUUCCAAUGACAUUGGGUGCUGCAUACUUCGGUUACACCAAAAGCCUGCUCUAAGUCAUGUGGGGACUUGGAAAUGUAUAGAUGCCUUGGCCACACCCCAGAUUUAUUGAAUUAAAAUCUGGGAGGCUGAGGUCUGAAAAGCUGCAUUUUUAAUAUGUUCUCAAUACACCCCUACCCCCCACCCCACCUAGUGAACCACAGGCACUUUGAGAUCUACUCUUGUGCCUCAUGGCAGCUUGGAUCUCACCUUAAUAUUUGCUAUUUGGCAUUCCAAUUCCUGGAAGAAACAAAUCUAGAAUUUUCUUCUUAAAAUCUAUAAAAGGGGUUAUAAAAGGGGAAUGAUACUGUUG